AUGCGGCAGCUACACAUGCAGUCGAGCGGUAGCACAGAGAGCUUGCUCUCGGGUGACGAGCGGCGGACGGGUGAGUAAUGUCUGGGAAACUGCCUGAUGGAGGGGGAUAACUACUGGAAACGGUAGCUAAUACCGCAUAAUGUCGCAAGACCAAAGUGGGGGACCUUCGGGCCUCAUGCCAUCAGAUGUGCCCAGAUGGGAUUAGCUAGUAGGUGGGGUAACGGCUCACCUAGGCGACGAUCCCUAGCUGGUCUGAGAGGAUGACCAGCCACACUGGAACUGAGACACGGUCCAGACUCCUACGGGAGGCAGCAGUGGGGAAUAUUGCACAAUGGGCGCAAGCCUGAUGCAGCCAUGCCGCGUGUGUGAAGAAGGCCUUCGGGUUGUAAAGCACUUUCAGCGGGGAGGAAGGCGUUAAGGUUAAUAACCUUGGCGAUUGACGUUACCCGCAGAAGAAGCACCGGCUAACUCCGUGCCAGCAGCCGCGGUAAUACGGAGGGUGCAAGCGUUAAUCGGAAUUACUGGGCGUAAAGCGCACGCAGGCGGUCUGUCAAGUCGGAUGUGAAAUCCCCGGGCUCAACCUGGGAACUGCAUUCGAAACUGGCAGGCUAGAGUCUUGUAGAGGGGGGUAGAAUUCCAGGUGUAGCGGUGAAAUGCGUAGAGAUCUGGAGGAAUACCGGUGGCGAAGGCGGCCCCCUGGACAAAGACUGACGCUCAGGUGCGAAAGCGUGGGGAGCAAACAGGAUUAGAUACCCUGGUAGUCCACGCCGUAAACGAUGUCGAUUUGGAGGUUGUGCCCUUGAGGCGUGGCUUCCGGAGCUAACGCGUAAAUCGACCGCCUGGGGAGUACGGCCGCAAGGUUAAAACUCAAUGAUUGACGGGCCGCACAAGCGGUGAGCAUGUGGUUUAAUCGAUGCAACGCGAGAACCUUACCUGCUCUUGACAUCCA
rnacentral:rRNA from 1 species